ACUGAAUAAAAUUUUCAGGAUCACCAAAUUGGCAACACAAGCUUGGAAUAUCCAAGUACAUUGCAAAUAAAAUAAAAGCCAUCUGGGUCUGCAGAAGUUAGGCUGGUAUUGAAAGAUGCAUAAAAAACAGUGCAGAGAUGAGAAUACAUUUAAGUGUCACACAUUGUCUGCCCGUCAUCACAGGCAGUUGCUACUCUUUGCUAAUAAUGCCAAAAAGUGCAUGACUGAAUUUUCUAAAGAAUGUUGCCAGGUAUUUUUACAAAUUUUCCAACAUCAGUUUGGAACCGAAUGUGUACCAGCUAACUGAGUGUAUCAAGACUGGAGCAUAAUGCAUAAAAAUACAUAAAAGGGGGUUGGAUAGAUGCUUGUGGGAUGAGCACUUCGAAUGACAGCUACAACGAUAAAGAUUUUGAAUCUGAAGACAAAGGUGACAGUAACACUUCGCUGGGUAACUGAAAUUUAAGAAAGUGCUCUGCAGCUGUACUUGACAUGAGAAAUUAAAGCGUCUAAUACUCUUCCACUUGAAUCAUAAUUACUAUGGGAACAAACGUGUUCAAGAGGCCGCAUGCUUAGCAUUCACAAUGUUUGCUUUAGGAAUAUCAGCACAAAAAUCUGUUGAUUCUAUACGAUGAAAUUGGUACACAGAUUAUCUGGAGGCCAUCUCAACAAACUAGCAUAGAUUAAUUUAUUUAUGCCUCUCAUUAACAAAUGAAAUAUUGAGUUUUAAAAAACGAGGACUAAGAUCUUUUCCUCUUUUAGAAUAAGUUUGACAUCUGUAACUGCUGCUUUGCAAUCUGGAUUUUUGCCAUAUUUAGAACCUGUUUCUAUAGUGUUUGAAUAUUGUUAAUAAAGCGAGAAGGUUAUAAUGCC